GGCUUGGCGCGCCACUCCCGGCGAUGUAUGUCGACGUGUGGGUUGUGUGCGCCUUCCAUCCUUCUGGUUAACCAUCAUCACUUCACUGGGGUGGUGGCGAUCCAGAUCUUUUACUUUGAAAAAAUUAGAGUGUUUAAAGCAGGCUUUUGCUAUGAAUACAUUAGCAUGGAAUAAUAAUUUAGGACUUUAUUCCUAUUUUAUUGGCUUCUAGGAGUAAAGUA
rnacentral:rRNA from 1 species